rnacentral:sRNA from 1 species
GUAAAUCAAGUACAUAUAACAUGUAUAGUAGCACUUUAAUAAUGUUUGGGAUAUUAAGUGUUGCGAGCCCUAUUCUGAUACCUCCAUUCUGUGACCUUUUAGUGGUAGAUGCACCUUUAAAAUGCUAUAAUGCCACAGAUUGUGAAUGUAAGUAGAGCUGCAUAUUUAAAGUUCCAG